rnacentral:tRNA from 1 species
GCGCUCGUGGCGGAAUUGGUAGACGCGCUGCCUUGAGGUGGCAGUGUUGAAAGACGUGGGGGUUCGAGUCCCUCCGAGCGCACCA